rnacentral:ncRNA from 1 species
UGAAAUGCUAGUCUGCAGAAGCAGGCAACACUAUCAAAUUGCGGGAACACCCUAAAGACCUCAACACCAAGCGUCAUGGGAAACCAUGGCGUGGCCGAGCUAAUAGCCCUGGGUAUGGUAACAGCUUGAGGUAUGAAGCCUUCGCAAGGAGGCCGAAAUGGGCAAUCCGCAGCCAAGUCCUAACGUGCUCGAAACCGAGUGCCAUGGAUGCUGUUCACAGGCCAAAUGGUAGUGGGUGACUCUUGCGAGUUGCUUAAGAUAUGGUCGGGCCCCUUCAGAAAUGUGGGGGAUAAGCUUACGCUUCUCCAAACCGUUCCGUAGGUGAACCUGCGGAAGGAUCAUU